rnacentral:rRNA from 1 species
AUUGAACGCUGGCGGCAGGCUUAACACAUGCAAGUCGAGCGGAGAUGAGGUGCUUGCACCUUAUCUUAGCGGCGGACGGGUGAGUAAUGCUUAGGAAUCUGCCUAUUAGUGGGGGACAACAUUCCGAAAGGAACGCUAAUACCGCAUCCGUCCUACGGGAGAAAGCAGGGGUUCUUCGGACCUUGCGCUACUAGAUGAGCCUAAGUCGGAUCAGCUAGUUGGUGGGGUAAAGGCCUACCAAGGCGACGAUCUGUAGCGGGUCUGAGAGGAUGAUCCGCCACACUGGGACUGAGACACGGCCCAGACUCCUACGGGAGGCAGCAGUGGGGAAUAUUGGACAAUGGGGGGAACCCUGAUCCAGCCAUGCCGCGUGUGUGAAGAAGGCCUUAUGGUUGUAAAGCACUUUAAGCGAGGAGGAGGCUACUGAGACUAAUACUCUUGGAUAGUGGACGUUACUCGCAGAAUAAGCACCGGCUAACUCUGUGCCAGCCGCCGCGGUAAAAC